CAUGUCCUGUCCCAGGCUGAGAACAUAGAGAUGGCACACCUGCUUGUCAAGAUUCUAAUGUCCCACUUCCAGGAACAUGAAGAUGGACUGGUUUUGCAUGCAGACGUUGCUGCAUCUGCAUCUGAUGUUGAGAAGACACUCAAUCUGCCUGCCAGUCCUCGUCUGAUUUUGCUGGGUAUGGCAGAGCCGGCAAAUGCUGUAUGGUAGAUGAUAAGCCUAGAGGGCUGUGUUAUUUGUGAGUGUGUCCAGUCAACAUUUUUGACUGCAGUUGCAACAGUGUUUGCUGUGUACUACAUCUUCAACCUGCAGUGUCAAGAGGAGGCUUGUUGCACGUUAGAAUUUCUUCAAAGACGCUUCAUUGGAAUAAACCCAGAAAGAGGCUCAAAGACCUGCAGAGGCAAGGUAGUCUCCAAGAAGACGG